rnacentral:rRNA from 1 species
UACGUAGGGUCCGAGCGUUGUCCGGAAUUACUGGGCGUAAAGAGCUCGUAGGUGGUUUGUCGCGUUGUUCGUGAAAAACUCACAGCUCAACUGUGGGCGUGCGGGCGAUACGGGCAGACUAGAGUACUGCAGGGGAGACUGGAAUUCCUGGUGUAGCGGUGAAAUGCGCAGAUAUCAGGAGGAACACCGGUGGCGAAAGGCGGGGUCUCUGGGGCCGAUACUGACGCUGAGGAGCGAAAAGCGUGGGGGAGCGAACAGG